AUAACGGUCCUAAGGUAGCGAAAUUCCUUGUCGGGUAAGUUCCGACCCGCACGAAUGGUGUAACGAUCUGGGCACUGUCUCAACUACCCACCCGGCGAAAUUGUAGUACCGGUGAAGAUGCCGGUUACCUGCGGCAAGACGGAAAGACCCCAUGGAGCUUUACUGUAGCCUGAUAUUGGGUUUCGGAAAUCUAUGUACAGGAUAGGCGGGAGACUAGGAAACAUGAGCGUCAGCUUGUGUGGAGUCGAUGUUGGGAUACCGCCCUUAGGUUUCUGGAAUUCUAACCUGCGGCCGUGAAUCCGGUCGGGGGACAUUGUCAGGUGGGCAGUUUGACUGGGGCGGUCGCCUCCGAAAAGGUAACGGAGGCGCUCAAAGGUUAGCUCAGCACGGACGGAAACCGUGCCUCUGAGUGUAAACGCAAAAGCUAGCCUAACUGCGAGGGUGACGGCCCGAGCAGUAACGAAAGUUGGAGUUAGUGAUCCGGCGGUAUGUGAAUGGAAAUGCCGUCGCUCAACGGAUAAAAGCUACCCUGGGGAUAACAGGCUGAUCUCCCCCAAGAGUCCACAUCGACGGGGAGGUUUGGCACCUCGAUGUCGGCUCAUCACAUCCUGGGGCUGUAUUCGGUCCCAAGGGUUCGGCUGUUCGCCGAUUAAAGUGGUACGCGAGCUGGGUUCAGAACGUCGCGAGACAGUUCGGUCCCUAUCUGUCGUGGGCGCAGGAUAUUUGAGGAGCUCUGUCCUUAGUACGAGAGGACCGGGAUGGACGUACCUCUGGUGCACCAGUUGUCAUGCCAAUGGCACGGCUGGGCAGCUAUGUACGGAACGGAUAAACGCUGAAAGCAUCUAAGCGUGAAGCCGACUCCAAGAUUAGAUAUCCCAUCGUAUAACGAGUAAGACCCCUUGAAGACUACGAGGUUGAUAGGCUGCGUGUGUAAGUGCCGUGAGGCAUUCAGCUUGGCAGUACUAAUAGGUCGAGGGCUUGACCAC
rnacentral:rRNA from 1 species